rnacentral:rRNA from 1 species
UACGUAGGGGGCAAGCGUUAUCCGGAAUUAUUGGGUGUAAAGGGUGCGUAGACGGAUUUAUAAGUUAGUUGUGAAAGCCCUCGGCUUAACUGAGGAAGAGCAACUAAAACUAUAAACCUUGAGUAUGGGAGAGGGAAGCGGAAUUUCUAGUGUAGCGGUGAAAUGCGUAGAUAUUAGGAGGAACACCAGUGGCGAAGGCGGCUUUCUGGACCAAAACUGACGUUGAUGCACGAAAGUGUGGGGAGCAAACAGG